GACGAACGCUGGCGGCGUGCUUAACACAUGCAAGUCGAGCGGAGCGGCGAACGGGUGAGUAACGCGUGAGUAACUGCCCCCCUCCCUGGGAUAACAGAUGGAAACGGCUGCUAAUACCGGCUAGUGGGGGAUGACUCGCGGCAUAUCGGCUUGUUGGUGGGGUAGUGGCCUACCGAGGCGACGACGGGUAGCCGGCCUGAGAGGGCGACCAGCCACAUUGGGCUGAGAUACGGCCCAAAGUCCUACGGGAGGCAGCAGUAGCGAAUAUUGCACAAUGGGGGAAACCCUGAUGAAGCAACGCCGCGUGCGGUAUGACGGCCUUCGGGUUGUAAACCGCUUUCAGCCAUGACGCGGUAGUUGCAGAAGAAGCACCGGCUAACUACGUGCCAGCAGCCGCGGUAAUUC
rnacentral:rRNA from 1 species